rnacentral:rRNA from 1 species
UAGUCCACGCCGUAAACGAUGGAUACUAGGUGUCCGGGAUAUUAACCUCCUGGGUACUACAGUUAACGCGUUAAGUAUCCCGCCUGGGGAGUGCGGUCGCAAGAUUAAAACUCAAAGGAAUAGACGGGGACCCGCACAAGCGGUGGAGCAUGUGGUUUAAUUCGACGAUACGCGAAGAACCUUACCUGGACUUGACGUAGUAAGAAUAUUUAAGAGAUUAGAUAGUGUCUGCUUGCAGAAACUUGCAUACAGGUGCUGCACGGCUGUCGUCAGCUCGUGUCGUGAGAUGUUGGGCUAAGUCCCGCAACGAGCGCAACCCUCGUCGUUAGUUGCUAACAGUUCGGCUGAGAACUCUAACGAGACUGCCUGGGUAACCAGGAGGAAGGUGAGGACGACGUCAAGUCAUCAUGGCCCUUACGUCCAGGGCUACACACGUGCUACAAUGGGGCAUACAAAGAGCAGCGAUACCGCGAGGUGGAGCAAAUCUCAAAAAUGCCUCCCAGUUCGGAUAGU